rnacentral:rRNA from 1 species
GGGGAAUAUUGCACAAUGGGGGAAACCCUGAUGCAGCGACGCCGCGUGAGCGAAGAAGUAUUUCGGUAUGUAAAGCUCUAUCAGCAGGGAAGAAGAAUGACGGUACCUGACUAAGAAGCACCGGCUAAAUACGUGCCAGCAGCCGCGGUAAUACGUAGGGAGCAAGCGUUGUCCGGAUUUACUGGGUGUAAAGGGUGCGUAGGCGGCUUUGCAAGUCAGAUGUGAAAUCUAUGGGCUCAACCCAUAGCCUGCAUUUGAAACUGCAGAGCUUGAGUGAAGUAGAGGCAGGCGGAAUUCCCCGUGUAGCGGUGAAAUGCGUAGAGAUGGGGAGGAACACCAGUGGCGAAGGCGGCCUGCUGAGCUUUAACUGACGCUGAGGCACGAAAGCGUGGGUAGCAAACAGGAUUAGAUACCCUGGUAGUCCACGCUGUAAACGAUGAUUACUAGGUGUGGGGGGUCUGACCCCUUCCGUGCCGGAGUUAACACAAUAAGUAAUCCACCUGGGGAGUACGGCCGCAAGGUUGAAACUCAAAGGAAUUGACGGGGGCCCGCACAAGCAGUGGAGUAUGUGGUUUAAUUCGAAGCAACGCGAAGAACCUUACCAGGUCUUGACAUCCAACUAACGAAGUAGAGAUACAUUAGGUGCCCUUCGGGGAAAGUUGAGACAGGUGGUGCAUGGUUGUCGUCAGCUCGUGUCGUGAGAUGUUGGGUUAAGUCCCGCAACGAGCGCAACCCUUGCCAUUAGUUGCUACGCAAGAGCACUCUAAUGGGACUGCCGUUGACAAAACGGAGGAAGGUGGGGACGACGUCAAAUCAUCAUGCCCCUUAUGACCUGGGCUACACACGUACUACAAUGGCCGUAAACAGAGGGAAGCAAAACCGCGAGGUAGAGCAAAACCCUAAAAACGGUCUCAGUUCAGAUUGCAGGCUGCAACCCGCCUGCAUGAAGUCGGAAUUGCUAGUAAUCGCGGAUCAGCAUGCCGCGGUGAAUACGUUCCCG